rnacentral:rRNA from 1 species
AGAUACCCCACUAUGCUUAGCCAUAAACCUAGAUGGCCACCACAACCCACCAUCCGCCAGAGAACUACCGGCGAAAAGCCUGAAACUCAAAGGACUUGACGGUGUCCCACAUCGACCUAGAGGAGCCUGUCCUAUAACCGAUACUCCCCGAUACACCCAACCAGCCCUCGCACCGCUCAGCCUAUAUACCGCCGUCGCCAGCCCACCCCACAAAGGACACACAGUGGGCACAACAGCACAUACUAACACGUCAGGUCAAGGUGUAGCCAACGGGCUGGCAGAGAUGGGCUACAUUUUCUACCAAAGAAUACCCCCACCAACAGCGCUGUGAAACCCGCACCACAAGGAGGAUUUAGCAGUAAGCCGGACAAGACAGCCCGACUGAAACUCGCCCUGGGACGCGUACAC